GUCUCACCGAGUUUCACACUGGAACAAUAUGAGCGCCUGCUGGAGUUGUUGAAGAAGGAUUCAGACGUUAACGCACAUGCACUCAGUGGUACAGGGAGAUCUUGAUGAAGAAGUUUACAUGACCAUACCUCAAGGUUUUAAAAAACAUGGAGAUAAUAUGGUAUGUAAGCUGAA